AAAGAGAGCGGCUACGUCAAAGACAAUCGUGGCUCUUUCUACUGGUAGGUUUCUUCGUAAAUUACAAUUUCAUUUUGGAACUAUUAUUGUACUACUAUAGCAUCGAAUGGAUGGAAUGGAUGUAUCUUUUAGUUGGUAAUUGGUCAUUAUAAUUAAAUUAGGAAGGAAAAUUUGUCAAUGUUGAAAUUGAGAUUUUGAAUAUGGCACUUCGGCAGUACGUUCUUUCACAAUUUGAGAGGGAAAAUGUUCUGUUGUUAUUGGCUAAUUGUGGAUAAGGUUUGAGGUUAUUGGUUAGGUUAGCCUGGCUUUCUAUAUAGAUAUAUGUUGUUGCCUGGAGAAUGAAUAGAAAUUGUUUAAAUUUUAUUUCUUAAAAGCUUAAGGAUAUUGUAUGAUUCUUUGUUGUAAAGAUUGAUUAUUAUGGGGAAAAAUCGGAUUAAAUAAUAAUUUAAUACCCAUGAUUAAUUGAGGGUUAUGUGAAACUAUUCAUUAUUAUGUCGAGUAGAGAGUCUAUCUUGCUUCUGUAAUUUUCUUACAGGUGGAUUGAAGUUAAAUGAGUUCUUAUUUUGUUUCGAUGUAAUAGAUUUUUGUUGUGGUACUAGGUUUCGAUAGAAGUUUUUAUAUAUUGGUAUAGGUAAUUAAAUUUUAGGUGUAUUGAUGUAUUAUAUAAGUAUAAUUAAAUUAUGUUAUUUAGAGGAAAUAUGACUUAACUCUAGACUUGCUAUUUGAGAAAUACUAAACUUGAUACAUUAGUUGGUAUAAAGUUUUCGGAAUUUGGUUAUAGUAAUAUGAGUGUCUACAGAUUGGUUUGCUGAUAUAUUAUGCAUACUUGAUAUACUGGAGACAUUCUAAGGCAUUGAGUAAAGGAAACACUAGGGGGAAGUAGCUUACUUGACUUCAAUUCUCUGAUGGAAGUAGGUUAUAGUUUAUUCUAUUUGAUAAAAGGACUCUUAAUAGUGAUUAAUAAGCAUUGAGUGAUAUUGUGAAGUUCCUGAUUUACUUGAUUGUGUGUUCUCUGAUUGGUCUGAAAUCCUGAGACCGUGAAAUUAAUAAUCUUGAUACCUAUCUAUCGAAGUGAUGUUUUUAAUAAAGAAGUCUUGAUAAAUAUUGUUAAUGUAGUGAAAAGUGGAGAUAAUAAAUGAUAGUUUUACAAUAUAAAUAGAUCUGAGUGACACGUUCUGACACGAUUUUAUUGAUCAAAGUAUCAUAUUCCGAUAUAGUAUUAUGGAUCAGACUGUUACAUUCUGACACGAUAUUAUGGAUCGGAGUAUGACGUUCCGACACUGUAUUAUUGGAUCCGAGUGCUAUGCUCCGACAAAGUAUAAUUGGAUCUGAGUGUCACAUUUUGACAUGAUAACAUUUAAGGAGAAAGAUAUUGAAUUAACUUAAUGUACUCAAUUUCAACGAAUUCAUUUCUCAAAUGAGCGUAUGAGGAGGCAUGAGUCCCCAUAUGUGUGCUUGAUAUUGUGAUUGAUUGUUUAUUUACUUUAAUGUUGUUGUCACUGGUUAAUAUUGUUUGUUGCUUGCCACUUACUAAGGAUAAUAGUUGACUUUAUACUAUUAUUCAUUGUAUAUUAGUUUCUAUUUUGGGUUGGCCGAUGAUACUUGCUCAGUACAUGUUGCUCCAUACUAUGCUCUACUUGUGUUUUCCUUUUAUGGAGUGCAACAAGUGUACUAACAACUCCGACUUGCCCUCAUCUCUAGCCGGUCUCUAGCAUAUUAACUUCUAGGUUGAGCACCUCAUUCAAGCUCGUAUUGGAUUCUCUUGGUCAUGACAUGAUGUCCUAUGUUUUCGAACAUAGACUAUUUUAUUUAUUUUUUUGAUGUGUUUAAACUCUUAGACUUAGUAUUUGAAGAUAAAACUCUUAGCCUUAGUAUUUUAAGAUAAAACUCUUAGUCCUUAAUUUGAGGACUUUCAGGUUUUUGGAAUGAUAUUUAGUAGACUUUAAGGGAAAUGAGUUUCUUACACUAAUAAGAUUUAGUAUUCCUCAUAAUGAUUAAUAUUUCAUAAGUUGAAUUCUAAAUAAAAGUUGGGGUUGGAUUCAUUGGUUCUCCGACCUAGGAUGUUAAGUUUGGGUGUCACUCAUGACUAGUUUCUGGUCGUGACAAGCUUGGUAUAAGAGUGUUAGGUUUGGUGAUCUCAUCACACAAGGAAAAGUCUAGUAGAUUCUUCAAGAAAACUAUAUGGAACCUCCUUUACUUUUCUUCGAGAGGAUAUUAGAUAUUAGGAAAACUUUAUUCAUUCUUUCUUCCGUGCUACUACUUGAAUUUAAUUGAAAUCUAGGUGAUAAAAAUUGGUAUAUGAACUUCUUCACUCUAUUUCACAUAUGGCUAGUACUGGAGUAUCGUUAAAACGAAAACAAAAUGUGUCCUUGAAAAUAGGCAUAUUUUCUCAAUUGACUAAAUGGUCAGUAAUGACUAGUAAUCAACAUAAUAUUUUUAUCAUAAAGUUGAUACCCUCAUUCUUCAUAGGUAUUGAUUAUGAAGAUGCGUAUACUUUCAUUGUUUAUUAUUUUGACCUACUUCAUAAUAUGAAUAUAGUUGAGAGGCUUCGUGUUUAGUUUGUUGUAUACUAGUUUCGGAGAGACGCAAAAUGUUGUGGCAGUCUCAUGUUGGCUGCCGAUUAUUAAAGGAACUACCUAUGACUUAAGGAAAUAUUAUCUAGCUUCUUCAUCAAAUUAAAUACCCCAAAUGUAGAGCGAUAAGAGGAGAGAUGGUUUCCAAAAUAAAUAUAAAUGGAAGAUAUGUGUUGUAGCCUAUUAGGUCAAUUUUGUACUUUAUCUAGACAUUUGACAACAUGCAAGAAGUUUCAUAAGGGACAACUAGAAAAUGAUCAUCAUUACUUUAGAAAAUAAAGUUAGUACAACUUUCAUAUCAUGUAUGAGUUGUUUAGCGAAUGAUGAAAUUAGGUUGUGUCAAUCGUGGUCAAAAUCUUUACUACGAUCCCAUGAAUUUAUUUUAUAUUAAGGAGGGUCAAACUUAUUAAGUGUGUUACUUUUAUUAUCGACCCGAUCAAAGAAUGAAUGCAAAUAUCUUAGGGGUAGAGACAAAAUGGAUUUAUAAUAUUUUAUCUAUAUUCAAUGGGUAUAAUUGUUUGAGCUAUUUCGGUGCAAUCUUCUCGAUAAGUAUGGUGUGUUCUAGUGAUGGAUUUAACGACCUUUCAUUGUACGGUACGGUGCUAGUGUUACGUGGAAACGAUUACAUUGAUUGUCAAGUGUAAAUACUAGCUACUUAAGGAGCUAUCAGUGGUAUGACAUGUUUAGAUAUGAGAUGCGAUGUUGCUUUUACAAUUGAAAAAAAUAACUAGUUUGUUACUACGGAAACUCGGAUUAAUGAUUAUUUUAAAGGAAAAUUUUAGUGGUGAAUCUUUUUUACGAUAUUAAUACAUUUAGGUUGUUAAAUGUAUCUUGAGGGUUCUAGGACUAGUGAUUUUUUUAAUCUCCAAAGGAGUGGAUUGAUGUUGGAAUGAAAAACUUAUAGAUAAAGAAUGUUAGUGACUAUACUUGGGUGAAUUCGAUUGGAGAUUUUAGUUCGAAAAUAUAUAUAAAAUUUUUGUAGUUAUUUGGAUCUGAUUGGUAUGACUUGUGAUGACAAACGUUUACUAAGCGUGAUGGAAAUAUGAGUUAGUGAUGGAUUGUGAUUGAGAUGCAAUUGUAGAAUAUGUAUUGUUGGUUAAAAAGAUUUUAUAUGGAAAUAAUAACUUGUGAUUAUCUAUGUUUGUGGGUUUCUACUAUUUAGAAAGUAUCGUGGUUUAAUGGAACGUUUUGAGACAUGUUGGGGUACCUCUCGAAUAUAAUUUAAAUGAGCUACAUUCAUAAUGAAAAUGAAAUAAAAAUUAGUGGGAUGAGUGUAGCCUUAGAAAAGAGGUGAGAGUAAGAAUAUUUUCUAUGAUUACAAGGACUUAAAAGUUAUGUUCAAUGAGAUUAAGAAUUGGGUUCAGUAAUGCUUAAUUUCAUCCGCUCUGGGUAUAAUAAUACUGUCAUGUGAUCAUCAGAUUGGUUUAAAAACUAGUUGAUAAGACUUGAUAUAAAAGUGUACAUAGGUCCAACUCAAGUUUGAUGAUAAGUUCGUUUGUGAUUUGAGUUUGGUAAUAAGAACAUUUUGAUUUAUAGUAAAAGAUACUGUAAGAUCGAUGGAGAGGGGUUUAAUGAUAUGUCAAGAUACAUGAAUACAUAAAAGGCUUAAAUAGAAAGAGAGAUAGCUUUAGUUUUAACAUGUGCUUGAUGAGAUAUCUUUGAUUCUAAUGAUGAUUUGGGAGUAAGGUCGAUGAUCGGUGUGGUUAUGAUAUUUUUUAUAGUAUUAAGAUUAUUGAAUUCGGUGGAUGUGGCAUUCAAUAAAUCAAGUAUGUGUGAAAUUAUAAUAUGGACUAAGUUGGUGAUUGUGGGUAACUAAAAAAAUAUAUCAAAGAUAUAGAUUAAGAUGAAUAAAAAUGUUUGAUACGGGCACUAUUAGGGGCGUCAAAUGCGCGGGCUAGUUUGAAAAUGAAAAUAUUAAAAUGGGUUAAACAGAAAUCGGGUUGAGUCUUUACCCAUCCAAGUUUUCUUUGGGCUCAAAUGUGUUGGGCACAAGUGGGCUAAAAAUGUUAUGAGACUUGACCCGCCCAUUUUGACCUGAUAAAUCUCAAUAACAUAACAUAUUGUUAUUGAACUUUUAUAAUUUACAAUUUAGAUUUCAACUCAAGAUUUUUUUGUUAAAAAGGUAACAAAUGGAUUAGAUAAAUCCUUAAAAAUGUUAAAUAAAAAAUACUUCAUACCUUUAAUAAAGGAGCAUAUCUUAAUUAUAAGUUUUAAAACAGGUUGAAAUUUGGGAUUGAAUUGGGCUCAAUUGGAAAUUUUCUUCAAAUGGGUUAAGUUUAAAUGCAUUGAGAUCGAUCCCAAUUCAAAUUAUCUUGAGUCCAACCCUUAAAAUUCUGGGUGCGUUACCUAUGUUUUAGUUAGUUUUUGACACCCCUAGGCCCUAUGGGAGGAGGAUCUAGAGUUAUUAGACCUGGUUAUGUACAUUCUUAUGUGACCAACUACUUCAUUAUGGUCAUGGUUUAGAAUAUAGUUUACUUUCUCUAUCCGUGUGUGUUUUCGCUUUAUGGGUGAGUCCCUCGUAGUGGAUCACGUGUACCUAUAUGUGACAUGCUCUUGAUUGGGUAGGAUGUUUAGGCAUACUUGGUUAUCUCAAAUGACAUAUUUGGUGUUGUCUUGGAUCUAUUAAAGUUACUAGACAUUCUACAUAUACAAUUUUUCUUAUGAGAAUUUAUAGGAGAACUAUCAUAAAAUUUUACAGUUGUUUCGACUUAAGAAUUAUCUCAUUAUCGGUAUCAUGUUUUGACUAAGUGUAGAUAUCCAACUAGUUGGUUUGAUACUUUUGAUAUGAGACCUUGAAUACUAAUAUUUUGAAGGAAUUGUUGACACAACUACCCUUUUUUACCCUCACCUUCUUUUGAUUGUUCGAGAGUGAACCUGUGUACAUUGAUAUGUACUGUAACGACCCAUUUGGUCGUUUUGAGAAGUAGAAAUUUUUAUUUUAUAAAUUACUUUUUGAUAGACUAUAAAUGCAUAUUUUUGACUAUUUGUAUCAAGAUUUUUGAAUUUAAUGAGAUAAUUUUUAUAAUUUAUUCAGUUGGUGGUUAAGGAAAAUAAAAGUAAACUUAGUAGUCGAUUACUUUCACACUUUUAUAGUUUUUCUUAUAUAAUAUUUAUGGAAAAUAUUUUGUAGAAAGCAUGAGGGUUUGAAAAGAGAGAGACACUGCAUCAAAACUAAUCGUGGGUCUUUCCGCUGAUACUAUUCUUUGUAAAUUACAAUCUAAUUCUUGAAAGAAUAUUGUACUACUAUAGAAUCGAAAGGAUGUAUUUUAUAGUUGAUACUUGGUUGUUAUAUUUCAAUUAGGCAGAAAAUUUUGCAAUGUUGAAACUGAAAUUUGAAAUCUGACACUUCAAAAGUACGUUCUUUAACAAUUUGAGGGGACUAAUGUUAGGGCAUUAUUGUCUAAUGAUGGAUAAGGUUUGAGGUCCUUUGUUAGAUUAGCAUGACUUAUAUUAUAUAAAUAUAUGUUAUUUGAUAGAUAUUUAUUAGAAAUUCUUUCAGUUUUAAUUCUUAAAUUCUUAAGGAAAUCCCAUUAUUAUCGGUUGUAGAGUUUGAUUAUUAUGGGAACAAGAUUGUGAGUAGAUAAAAAUUGAAUUACGAUGAUUAAUUGAGUGUUAUGGGCAAUUAUUAAUUAAUAUUAAGAGUAUAGAGUAGAUCUUGGUUCUGCAAUAUUACUUUGGGGUGGAUUAAAAUUAAUGAGUUCUUCGUUAGUUUCGAUGUGUUGUAUUUUUGUUAUGGUAGAGACUAGAGUAUAGAGUAGAUCUCGCUCAAAGUGAUGCGUUGAAUAAAAAAGACCUGAUAAAAUAUUGUUAAUACACUGAAAGAUGUGGUGAUAGUUAAUUCUACAUUAACAAUAUUUAUGGAUCGGAGUGUUACAUUCCAACCGGUAUUAUGGAUCAGAGUGUCACAAUCGAACACAACAUUAUGGAUCAGAGUGUCAUAUACUCCAUAUGACAUUAUGGAUUCGGAGUAUCACUUUUUGACAGAUUAUUAUUAGAUUGGAGUGUCACUUUUCAACAUGGAAUGAUUGGAUCAGAGUGUGACACUCCGACACAAUAACCUGAAAAGAAAAAUAUAUUGAAUUAAGUUAAUGUACUUAAUUUCAAAGAACUCAUUUUCCAAAUAUGUGUUAUGUGGAGGCAUGAGUCCCCAUACGUGCUUGAUAUAAUGAUUGAUUGUGUACUUACUUUAGUGUUGUUGUCACUCGUUCAUGUUGUUUGUUACUUGUCACCUACUAAUUUUCAUAAUUGAUUUUAUAUAACUUUUUAUUAUAUGUUAGUUUUUUUUUUGGGUUGGUUGAUGAUAUCUAUUCAUUACAUGUUGCUUUGUACUGAGCCCUACUUGUUUUUUCCAUUGUUCCUUUUCAUGACCUCCAUACUGAGCCCUACUUGUGCUUUCCUUUGUUCCCUUUCAUGAAGUGCAGCGAAUGUACCGGCGACUUUGACAUGCCCUCAGCCCUAGCUAGUCGCCAGCAUAUCAAGUUCCAGGUUGAGAUACUCAUUAAAGCUUGUGUUAGAUUCUCCCGGUCAUGAUAUGAUCUCAUUAGAUUUGGGACAUAAACUAUUUUAUUAAUUUAUUUUAGUGUCUUUAAACUCUUAGACUUAGUAUUUGAAUAUUAAAUGUCCUUAAUAUGAUGAAUUUCAGGUUUGAAAAUUACAUAUAGUAGACUUUAAUGGAUUUGUGUUUCUUACACCAAUAAGAUUUAAGCUUCCUCAUUAUGAUUAGUAUUUCAUAAGUUGAAUGAUAAAUAUAAGAUUGGGUUGGAUUAAUUUGUUCUCUCACGUAGGAGUUUAAGUGUGGGUUCCACUCAUGACUCGUUUUGGGUUGUGACACUAACUAUAAUUACUAUAAAAUAGGGGUGAAGUAAAUUCAUUACAUAACAUUAAUGGGCUGACACAAAAAAUGAAUUGUAUAAUUUUUUACAGAUAUUGUUUGUGCAUUUCUGAUAGGAGAUUUCUUGUUUUUAUUCUUCUUUAUGAACUGGUGAAAACCUUAAUUUUUAACCAAUUAAAAGGAUUUGAGACCCAUAUUAGGAUUGUCUUGUGGUGGGAUCUACUAAAAAGAACUCUUCAAGGCCACAAUUUACAAGAAGAGUUGUAACUUUUAUAAAGAAUUUUGACUUUUCGGAAGAGUUGCGACUGUUCUGAAGAGUUGACACUUAGAUGAAAAGUUAUGACUUUUUCGUAAGUUUGUUGCUUUUUUGAAGGGUUGUGCGUUUUCUGAUAUGUCACAACAAAAAGUCAUUUACACUAUCAUCUAUUCUCUAUAAAUAGAUGGGUUUCUCUUAUUUUUCAUUAACAAAAUUUUGAACUUUUUUCUUUUCUACUAAAUAUAGUAUUCUAAAUGAAUUUUACUACUGUUGACAGAUUUGCUGACACCAUGGUUUUCACAAUUAAUACACCGGUGAGUAACAUUAUUCUAUUAUGAGAGGAAUAUUCCAUCAACCUUGAGUACUUGAGGGAACUAAUUUUCUUAAGAAAACAUAUUGUAUUCAGUGGGGUCAAUUUUAUUUUUGAGAAUUUUUUCUAUUAUUGUUUUUAACUAGUAAAAUUACACGCGCUUCGCGCGAGAACUUAAUAUAAGAGAAUUUAUAAAAUAAUAUUAUAAAUUUAUCAGUUAUUAAAACUAAAACACUAUAUUAUCUCACAUACAAGAUUAUUAUGUGGUAACAAACAUCGAUAAUGUAAAGGAAAUGACAUUUAUUACAUCCUAUCAUUUAUUCUUACUAACAGAAACAUAAUUUAAUUACUAAAUAAAUUAUACCAAGAUUUGUAACAUAAGCAAUCAUUAGUGAGACAUUCAAAAGGAACAAAGUACAUAAAUAUUUAGUCGUGAAGAAGAAGAAGAAGAAGAAGAAGAAGAGGAGGAGGAGGAGGAGGAGGAGGAGGAGGAGGAGGAGGACGAGGAAAUGUAGAAUUUUCGUUGUUUUAAAGGGAGAGGAAAUCCAUUUAUUUAUAGACAACAAAGGGUACCGUGCACAAAUGUUUAUUAUGCUUUAACUGAAAGGUUACAACUAUUUGGAAAAGUUGCAACCUUCUGAAAGGUCACAACCUUUCAUAAAAAUCACAUUCUUAAUAAAAGUCGCAACUUUUCAUAAAAGUCACAACUUUUAAUGAAAGUCACAACUCGUCAUAAAAUUCACAAUUCUUCAUAAAAGUCACAACUUUUCUUAAAAAUCACAACUCUUUAUUAAAGUAACAACUCUUCAUUAAAGUCAUACAUGUUAAUAAAAGUCGUAAUUUUUCAUGAAAUGAGAAGGCUAUUUUGGGAAAUAAAUAAAUUUAAAAGGGAAUUCUUGUUUGUGAUGGUGCCACAUAGGCUAGUCGAAGGUUUUCUCAUAUAUAUAUGUGUGUGUGUGUGUGUGUAUGUGUGUGUGUGUGUUAAGUUUCUAGUUUUGAUAAUAUUCUUUUAAUUUUGUUGUUUCAUACCAAGUUCUUCAAAAGUAUUUUUUAAAAGUAUCUAAGUAAUAUUUUCACACCAAAAAUAGCUUUGAAGUUUAGGUGUUUGUGUCAGGCAUGCUGCAAUAUACACAAACAUUCUAGUGAUCAGCUUUGAUGUCUCCUUGGGAGUAUAGUGUUUUUGUAGCUAAUGCCAAAAGGUCUAGCCUGUAUCUUCUUCUAAAGCAUAACUUCUUUGGAUCAAACAUUAGUUAUCUUGGUGUCUAGGAGAAUAUUCCCAACUUUGUGCUUUUCUCCUUAAGCUAUUUUUUCUCUAAUAUCUUAUAGCCAAAAUUGUUUACUUUCUACUGUGGACUUCUGAAUUUUCCUAAUUUUUAUGGUUUCAUUCUUCAAUUGGAAUCAAUAGAGUUAGAGAUUUCCAGCUAAAUGUCUUUCAAGGAGGAGGAUGGGGAGAUUCGUGCACAUGUUGUAUAAAAUGGGAGUACUUGUAGAAUCAGUGAAUAUGGGCUUGAACUUUAUCCUCUUUCUGAGUGUGACUUUGGCGAAGGCUUACCACAUGCUCUUGGAGAUUUUCAAAAUUCUGGUGAAAAGUGGCGUUGGCAGGCAUACAAAAGAGUUUCAAGUUCAGGCAUCUUAAGAGAUAGAUAUUUGUAUAUUCCGAAGCAUUUUAGGACACCAAAAAGCGGACAGAAAAAAAAUUUCGAAGUAAGAUUUUGGUUGAAAAGUAUCUCCAUUCUGAGUAUCUUGACAUGGAUAUAAACCAAUUUUUUCCUCAUUUAGUUGGAUGAUUCCUUCGAAGAAGUCGCCAAGCUUAAAAGGCUAGAUUUUUUUGUAUAUAACAUGUAGAUAUUUAUUGAGUUGUUUGCGUCAAUUAAAAAAACACUUAAUACAUCUUUUUAUUGGCCUGAUGCCAAAUUUGUUUCUUUUUAAUCAAAUAUUUACUUCGACUCAGAUAUGAUAGAGAGGACUACAUCUUUAGGGAAAGAAUUGUAGUUUUUACUGCUUGAUUUUACUAUAAGAGCCAUUACUUGUAAGGCUGGUAACGAAAUUUGUAGAAGUUUAUAAAAAGAAAAUCCUUUUCCAGCCAUGGUUUGUGAUAUUUGUUGCACUGGACCUGUUUUUGGCGACUAUAAUGGGUACAAUUAUGUUUGAUGUGAAGCAACAAUAGAUGGAUAUAUAUGUGGACAUAUUUCCCAUCUAGACUGUGUUCUACGAGCUUACAUGGCUGGGAAAGUUAGAGGAAGCAUCGAUUUGAAUGUACAAUAUUUUAUGUCGAUACUGUGAUUCAAGGAUGGAUUUGGUUCCACAUGCUCUGAAGCUUAUGAAUACUUGCACAUCUGUUUCUUCUCGUGCUGACAUUGAAAUGAUUUUGAAUGUUGGCAUUUAUAUUUUGCUUGGGUCACAAAAAAAGAGGGGAAAAGAGUUGUUGCAUCAUAUUGAAUCAAUCAAUGCGAAAUGUCUUGCUCAGAUACAAAUAUUCAAGUCAAAGUAACUGAUUAACACAAACAAGAUGAUGAGAGGGGAGAAAAGUUACCAGUGCUAUCCACACAACCUUACUUUUUGAAUUCAUCUUGAAUACAAACUUCUUUCAUAAGCUGAUAUUAUUAUCAAACUAGUCAUUCUGGUAACUCUAAACCUCAAAUUGAAAAAAUAUAGCAUCAUAAGAAAAAAAAAAGUACAAUUCAUCAAUUAGUUAUACCUUCGCAUUGAUUGAUUCAAUAUGAUGCAACAACUCUUUUCCACUCCUUUUUUGUGAGCCAAGCAAAAUAUAAUGCCAACAUUCAAUAUCUUUUCAAUGUCAGCACGAGAUGACAUAAAUGUGCAGGUGUUUAUAAGCUUCAAAGCAUGUAGAACCAAAUCCAUCCUUGAAUCACAGUAUCGACAUAAAUAUUGUGCAUCCAAAUUGAUGAUUUCUCCAACUUUCCCAGCCAUAUAAGCUCGUAGAGAAAUGUCUAGAUGGGAAACAUGUCCACAUUCGUAUCCAUCUAUUGUUGCUUCACAUCGAACAUACUUGUACCCAUCAUAGUCGGAACCUAUUGUUUUGCAGCAAAGGAUACAACAACAACCUCGGAAAAAACAAGGUUCACUGCAACAAAUAUCACAAACCAUGGUCGGAAAACGAUUUUCUAUUGAUAAACUGCUACAAAUUUCAUUACUAGCCUUACAAGUAAUCACUCUUAUAGGAAAAUUGGACACUAAAGACAGCAAUUUUGUCCCUAAGGAUGUAGUCCUCUCUAUCAUAUUUGUGUCAAAAUCAAUAUUUGAUUAAAACAAAAACAAAUUUGGCAUUAGGUCAAUAAAAAGAAAUGUUAAGUGUUUUUUUUAAUUGACGCAAACAACAGAAUAAAUAUGUACAUUCUAUACACAAAAAGGCUAACCUUUUGAGCUUGCGACGUCUUCUAAGGAAUCAUCAAACUAAAUGAGUCAAAAAAUUGGUUUAUAUCCAUGUCAAAAUAAUCAGACUAGAGAUACUUUUCAAAUGAAAUCUUACUUCGAAAAUCAUUUUUCUGUCCACCUUUUGGAGCCUUAAAAUGCUUCGAAAGAUACAAAUAUCUAUCUCUAAAGGUGCUUGAACUUGAAACUCUUUUACUUGCCCGCCAACCCCACUUAUCACCAGCAUUUGGAAAAUCUACAGGAGCAUACGGUAAGUUCAAGCCCAAUUUCACUGAUUUCUAGAAGCACUCCCAUUAUAUACAACAUGUGCAGGACUCUCCCAAACCUCCUCCUUGGUAGAUAUUUAGCUUGAAAUCUCUAACGAUGUUGAUUCCAAUAGAAGAAUGUAACCAUAAAUAUAAGGAAACUUUAGAAGUCCACAUUCCAAAGCAAACAAUUUUGGCUAUAAAAUAUUGGAGAAAAAACUAGCUAAAGGAGAAAAGCAAGAAGUUGGGCAUAUUCUCUAGGAAACAAGAUAGCUAAUGUUUGAUCCAAAGAAGGUAUUCAUCAAAUGAAGAUGGAUAUUAGACCUUUCGGUAUGAGCUACAAAAAUACUUUCUUCCCAAGGAAACAUCAAAGUUGAUCAGUAGAAUGUUUGUGUAUAAUGCAGCAUGCCUGACAUAAACACCUAAACUUCAAAGCUACAUUUGGUGUAAAAUAUUACUAAGAUACUUUAAAAAAUACUUUUGAAGAACUUUGUAAUAAACAACAAAAUUUAGAGAAUAUUUUCAAAACUAGAAACUUAAAACCAAUAAAGAUAAUAGAAUCUGAAACAAAUUAAAAAUAAUAAAGAAAAUAUUUUCUCAAAAAAAAAAAGUUGACCCCACUGAAUGCAAAAUGUUUUUUAAGAACUAUAGAAGGGGAAGGUAGAGAGGAGAACUUGUUUAUGGAAGAAUACUAUUUUAUUAGGUUGUUCUUGCCUUCUUGGUUUGCUUGGGUUAAUUUCAAAUGAAUAUGGUCACCCCUAUUCAUACAAGAGUAGGAAUGCUUGUAGAAGGUAUUCUAGAUUGAUGUAUAAAAAAAAUCUAGAUGUCCUUAUCUUCUAACUAUUGAUCAAGAAUCUAGAUUAUUCUAUAAUUCACUAUAAAUAUCUACUUCUCUAGAACAUCUACACAAUUCCUAGAUACAUCAAGUACUUAAGGUACUACUCUAUAUAACUGUAUAAAGUUCUACUAAAUAUUUAGGAUUAUUUAUAACUCCAAAAAAUCAUAUUUGUUUUUUACACUCCCCAUUAAAGUGAUUUUUUUGAAACUACCCGACAUUGUCAUGGAGAAGCUCAAACGAAGCUUUGAGGCACAUCUUGGUGAAAAUCUGGCAGUUUCUUCCAGACUCCUCGUGUUGAUUUAAAUGAUGAAGAUUUUCCCUUAUAAAAAGAUCAAUGUAAAUUAUCUCCUUGCUGAUUUCAUGAAAUCCCCCUUUCUCUUCGCUUCUCGAAAACUACAUUAUCCAGAAAAACACUAUCAAUUUUUACUGAAGUCUCAACAUCAUCAUGGGAUACACUGCCAUAUUCUUUUAUCAUCUCCUCGGUAAAUUUUUUGACAACAUCAAUGCUUUCAAAAUUCAUAUCAUUUGUCUUUAAGACUUCAAUAUCAUCUUCUUCCUCUAUUAAUCUCUACUUUCUCCAUCAGAUUUAAAAAAUUUCUCCAAGUCAUUAAUUGUCCUUAAUAUUCCAGAUGAUUGAGCAAAUACUUCUGCUUCCAAUAUAUCUCCAUCAAUGCUUUCGCUGUAUAUGUCGUUACUAGCACAUGCAGUUUCAGAUAUUGCCUUUUCGGGAUCUUUUUUUCUAUUUCUUCUAUAGAGGAUACUACAUAACCACAUGGAAUAUCCUCAAAAAUUUCAUGGUUAAUGUCAACAUCAGUUUCUUGCUUUCCAAGUGAUCGGAUAUAUAUGAUAUUCUAAAUCCUUGAUCCAGUCUCUUUCAAGAUUGAUGGAAACUAUGGUAUCUAUUGCUCAAGCCUCAGCUACUAUACCUUUUCCGAACUCUUCUCCUUCUUCGGCAAAUUUUUGUGCCAUAUUUCUUUACUUUGCUUGGAACUAUUUCUUUAUGAGCCCUACAUCGCCACAACGAUAACAUCUGAUUCAGAUGCCUGACUAAAUGAAUAGGUAAAAGAUCGGGAUAGCCGGGAUGACCUAUUUUACGAUAAGAUGAUCCAUCUCUUUGUUCGCUUCAGAGGCUAACUCGGAUAGGUUAGAUACAAGGGAAAGAUCCCAUAAAAGAUAUAUUGGAUGCUCUUUCUGAUGCCCUACCAUAUUAGUUAGAAGACUCUUUCUUCUUUCUAGGCAAGCUUGAACCACCUGAGGAUCUAGAGUGAGACAUAUCUCCUGUUUUUCCUUUAAAAUUCCUCUGUUUGUCUACAAGAGAAUUUUCUUCUCCUCUGAUAAAUACACUAGACAACUACUUGGCUAGUAAUUCCUGUGGAAACAACAAAUUUUCAAUUUUUUCCAAGGAUGGCUGUUGAGACCAACAUUGAAUUGACAUUAAAAAUUUAAUAUAUUCAUGUUUUAACCCACGAAUAAAUAUUGUUCUCAUUGUGCUUCAGAAAUAGCCUUUUUUAGAUUCAAUAGAGAUAUCUUAGAAUAUAAGUUAUUAAUCUCAAAAAAUACUCGGAGAUGGAAAGGUUACCUUAAGUGUUGUUAGCCGAUUCAUUCUCCAAUAUCUGUAGCCAAGCUUCAUUCUUCUUGUUGAACAAAUGUUAGAGGGUCCUCCAUAUUUCAUAAGCUGAUUUACACUUUAUAAUGCGAUCAAAUUAACCAGAUGAGAUUGUCCUCUUUAAAAUGAACUCCGCCUUCACAUUAACCUGCUUCCACUUUUUGUAUAUGCUACUUCAAUAUUUCGGCCCGUUAGCAGGAGGACUUGUGUCAUUCCCAUUACAAACAUCCCACAAAAUCCUCUCCAACAAGGUAUGAUUCUAUGCAAUUCUUCCAUACCUUGUAAUUGGACUUGUUUAACAACUCCACCAAGUCCAUUAUCACAGCUGAUAAAAUCGAUAUAGACAAAUUAGUUAAAUCUAGCUCUAACCCGAUCUUGAAAUAACACCCAAAAACCAAUGUCUGAUUAUGGAUCUGAUACUGUGUAGAGAGUAGCAGAAGAAAAGUGUAGUUAAGAAACCUUCUUCUAGCCCAAAAAUAUAUACUAAGAUUGGAAGAUUAAACUAAAGAAGGGGAAGCUAGAAAUGAGAACCUUUUUAUGGAAAAAUACUCUUAUUAGGUUGUUCUUGGUUUGCUUUGGUUAUGACUAUGACCACCCCAAUUUAUACUAGAAUAAGGAUUCUUCUAGAAGUUAUCAUUGAACUCGCUUUGUUCCAAGCAGUUGUAGUAUGUCACAAUAGCACACCAUCUAAAUCUCAUUUUUAAUUCAAACUACUCUGUAAUGUUAUACUUGAGCAGAGAGUCUAUUAGAAACAAUCUUUCUACCUCGUAGGGGUAAAGUUUAUAAGACUAGUUUCUGGCUUCCCCCUUAAGUCAUUGGGAUGCAGUUGUUUAUAUUCUGCGUUAUAUAAAGUCAGCUUCGAGUAAAGUACCACUCUUUGAGUAUCAAGGUUACAAGCAUAUCAUUGGAUAUACAGAUGUUAAAUGGGCAAGAUCACCAUCAAAUGGACGUAUUACAUCUGAAUAUUGUGUUUUGGUCAAGGUAAUUUUGUGUUGUGGAAGAGUAAGAAACAAAGUGUGGGUGCUCGAUCUAGUGCAGAAGGAGAAUAUUAAGCAGUAGUUGUAGCAACUUGUGAGUUAGUUUUGAUCAAACAGUUGUUGAGAGAACUAAAAACUGAAGAAAUUGAUCGGACGGAACAUCUAUGUGAUAAUAUAGCACUCCGUCUCGCAUCAAUUCCAAUAUUUCAUGAGAGGACUGACCACAUUGAGAUUUAUUAUCACUUUGUCAAGGAAUGAUAAUCUCAAGAGACAUUGUUACAAAAUCUCAACAUUUAAAUUUCCUCACCAAGUCCCUCACUGUUAAAGGCGGAGACUGUGAUAUGUUCAGUGAAUAUUUUCAAGAGGAUCUCACCUCCUCUAAAUCGUACGGUGAGGCUACCAAGGAUCACGAAAAAAGAUAUUCAUCGAUUGAAUAAUUGAAUACCGCCUAUGGAUUCUCUGGACACAACGACCAAGUUCAACCUACCUCCAAGGAAUCCCUCAAAUCAGGGAGGAACCUCUAACAUUACCAUCAAAGUUUCCACCACCAAUAUUGAAAAUCAAAUAACCCUUACAACUAAUGUUUCCAAUGUUAAGCUUCGUAGCAUGAAUAUUAGGGGAAUGGAUCCAACUAUUCCUUCGAAAGAUUACUCCUCUUUAAACAACAAUUUCAUUUUCCUCUCCUCUUCCUACAAGAAUAUAUGGUAUCUUGUGAUAAAGUGGAUAAAUUUAGAAGGAAGUUUGGUUUUAAUCAAGCCUACAACAACAAUUCUAACAAAAUCUGGAUCCUUUAGUUGAAUGAAAUUGAUGAUGAGGCCAUUCAUGAUUGGGAGCAAUAUGUUUUUCUCAAAGUUAUUCAUAAUGUUGACCAUAUUUUUCUUUCAGUUAUCUAUGAAAAAUGCACAGAGCUGAGGAAAAACUGAUGCGGUGAAUUGAGAGUUAUAGCAAAUAUUAUCCAAGAGCCUUGGGGAGUAACAUACGACUUUAAAUUUGUGGUAUCCAGUGAUGAGAAAUUUCGACGAAGGAUCAUAGAAAGGAAGAAACUCUUGAUUUCAUUGAAUGCCCUAAUAAGUGUGGUCUUCAAGAUGCAGGGUUCUGAGGUUCUUAAUCAUGGUGUGAUAGAUACCCCAUAACACUAUUAGGAAAAGAUUGGACAAACUUUUCUAUUACUCUUUAUGGUAAGACAUGUAUAUUCAUGUUACUCACUUAUCCAGAAUGUGCUCGAACCAUGCUUCACUGUUAAUUAAAAUGAAUAAUAAUACUCCUCAAACUAACAAAUACUUCAAAUUCUUGAAUAUAUAGGAGGAUCACUUUGACUUCAUGGAUAUAGUCCAAAACUCUUGGAAUGAAGAAUUCAAUCAGAAUCCUUGUAGAUCCUUCACUAGAAAAUCAAGAGGACUUGCAAAGCUAUGAGUUCUUGGUCUAGAAAGUCUUUUGGGGACCUCUACGCAUAACCUAGAAGAGUUGAAUUCCAAAUUCAAGAUUUUGAAGACAAGAGUGUAACAAAAAACACAAGAGAUAAUAAGAGAUAUCUCUCUAGGUUAACAGCCGAAUCCACUAGAUUUCUCAAACUUCAAGAGUCUAUCCUCAAUAAAAUUUCUAGGGUAAAAGGUCUUGAAGGAGAUUCUAACACGGUGUAUUUUCUCAACAUCAUCAGAGACAGGAGAAAAAGAUCGAACAUUGGGAAAUUUAUGGAUGAAGACAACAACUGCCUGGAAGGAAAUGACAAAAUUGCUGAAAGGGAUAUCAGAUUUUACAGGAAUCUCUUUAUUACUACAAUACUAACCCUGGUUAUAGCUCCCUUAAUAUUCUUCAUAGGUACAUCAAAAUGGGAACAAUAAUAUGUUCUUCUCCCUUCCAACACUCAAAGAACUUCAGGAUUGUUUAAUGUCCAUAGAUAUCGAUAGUGCUGCUAGACUAGAUGGACUAAUUGGGUAUUUUAUUUAAAGUACUUGGAGAAUCAUUGUUUCAGAUCUCCAUAAAGUUGGGACUUCCUUUUCGUAGGUGAUAUCCUUCCGAAUUUUGAUACUCAUAUUUGUCUUGUUCUUAUUCCUAAGAUUGAUCACCCCAAUUUUUUUUUUUUGAGAUCUAUGAACCUGUGUAAUGUUUUAGUAAAAGUAUCUCUAAAAUAUUGAAUAACAGACUGAUCUCUAUCAUUUCUCGAAUUAUAUCUAAGAAGAAAAGUAGAUUUUUUGAUAGCCAUGAAAUCCGUAUGUGGCCCACCACUCUUUGGACUAAUCACAUACUUCUAAACUCGGUGGAUAAUGGUCCCACCCCUCUACCCUUCACCAAUUAAAUAUCGCGCUUCAUUUUGCAUGGUGGGUGAUUUGAACCUGCGACUUAAGCCACAAAUCCUCCACCUUUUGGCACUCGAUCUAGGCCUUGGGAGAAGGAAUCAAAGUAUCUUUCUGAAAUGCAGCACCAUUACUUGAACUAUUUUUCUAUCCGAAGAAAUUAUUGGUUAUAUGGAACCCUAGACUUACCUCUACCAUGUUCUUAGGAAUCUUGGUUUCUCUGAGCAUUGAUUUUACCUCAUCCAUAAUUAUAUCUCCAACACUUUUUUAUAGUGGUAAAUGGAGGUCUUCAUGGUUUCUUUAAAUCUUCUAAGGGUUUGAAGUGAGGAGAUCGUCUUCCCCCCCCCCCCCCCCGUCUCCUCUUAAUUCUGAGUGUCGAAUUGUUGUCUCAAAUGCUUAACAAUCUGCAUAAUCACACUGCAUACAAGAGUUUUUAUAUGUGCAAUAAUAGUCCUUAAAUUAUCAUUUAACUUUUGCUAAUCACACCAUUAUUUUUUGUGAUUGUAGCAAGAGAUAUAUCAAACUAAUCACUGACAUUGUCGACAGGUAUAAACAAAUAUCUGGUCAACAGAUCAAAAAAAACAAGAGUAGCUUCAUCAUGAAAUCAAAAUCCAACAAAGUUCUAUUUGUCUGUAUUUGAUUCUGGAGCAAAGCAUCAAUGGAUUGGAUGAAUUAAUUUGAGUUACCCCUUUGCAAAAGGCGGUGAUAAUUUUAAGAAAAUUUCAAAUGUUUGUAUGGACAUCAAGGAAAAUCUAUGGUGCAACCUAAGAACCUCUUGUUAUCUUUUGGGACAUUACAUGAAGGCUAAGUACCUCGAUAAUCAACAUUAGAAAGUCAUAUGUGAAGUUAAGUCAUUG
rnacentral:lncRNA from 1 species